UGUUCUACAUGUUAACAGGUAACAGGCACCCUUAGUUUGUCCAUCAAACUGUCAGCUAAUACAGGUUGGGGGUCUGUGUAAGAGUGUAAGCCAAACAAUCACUUAUUCCCCCAUUGUGCACAUCUCAAUGCAUGAAAAAUCCUCCCCAACAUGUUUCUACGGUAAUCCAGAUGAUGAUGGUAGAUGGCAUGGAUCAUGCAGUUUAUUGACCGACCUCAAUGUGUUUGUUUUGUUUUUGUUCCUGUGGUUUGCACUUUAUGUCCAUGUUUGCACUUGCUCAGAGCCAUUGUUAUGGCUUAUCUCUGUUUGUUGCCAGCUUAUCUAUAGUAUCUAUUAUAUUCUGGUAAAUUAUUUGAAAAAAAGAUGAUUUGAAUAGUGAUUUCACUCUUCACUAUUAUCUUAUUUUGACUACAGAACAUGUGGACAGUAGGGGAGGCAAGAUAUAGAGUGUACAUUUUAAUACUAAAGAUGGUGAGAAAUACUUUGGAUAUACUGUAUUUCGAUUUCUUCCGGUGUUUAAGAAUAAAAGUCUGAAAA